GCCUAGCUGGAACUUCUGAAGAAGUUCAGCUGAAGAAGAAUUUCAUGAAUGGGAGUGUUCAGAAGCGAGGAUGUGCUGACAACGUUACCGUCAUACUGGUGUCUGUUAGCUUCUGAACAACAGACACCCGAUCUGGCCCGUCAUUGUGUGCCUCUGAGUGCUAUGUCCACCGUGGCUCCAGACCUUAAAACAUGACCAGAUCCCACCACUCCCAGCAACACUGCCCGCAACAGAUGAACAUCAGACAUGUUGGUCAACCGUUCAUUUUAAACAAGAUGUUCUAAUCUCUAACUCAAUGUGAARAGCAUACCGUACGCAUGUACGCAAUGCAAAUGCUAAUUGCUUGUGUUGCAUACUUGCGUAGGGUGUAAAUAAGGCCUAAUGCUCUGUAGUGCCCUGUACUGCUUGUCCUGAUGACUACUGAUGAUUUAAAUGGGCUUUAUGUUUUCUAUCUAAUACAUUGUCUUUUCAAAUUUGRGCACAUGUUUUAUUGCCUUAAAUGUGUAUUUUUCUUUGGGGUACUUUUAAUAAAGUAGUUCAGAACAGAA